CCUCAGCAGAUGGGAGACAACCUCUGGCUCGGCCUAGGUGCCCAAGACCCAUGGAGGGCCCUGCACCCAGCCCAGAGCCCCAGAGCCUGCAGACCCCACGCCGACUGUGGGAAUCAAGGAUUUAGGAGAAAAGCUCAGACGCCGUGGCUGACCCCUACCACUGACCACGACGUACCAGCGCAGCGAGACGAGGGCGCAGUACACUGGCUCUCCCGAUCGGGACGCGCGAGUCUCCGAAUACGUAGGGGCCCAGCCCCCACAAUGCCCAGACCUCCUCCGCGGGGGGCCUUCCCAGUAUCCGACCGGGGCGUCCUGGACCGCCGCCAGCUCUAUCUGACCACCUCGGCCCGGCCCGGGACUUUCGGUUCUAUCCCAAGUAAGCCGGGCUCUCGCUCCUCACCGCCUCCUGAGCUGUCCGGAUACCCCCUCAAGGACUCCCUGACCUACUGGAGCUUCGAAGGGACUCCCUAACUCUGGGGUCACGACCCGCAGCGGCCGCCCUGUUCGCGCUCCUCCCGGCCGCCCCGAUCGCCGCACGGCGGGGUCCUGACUCUGGUUCAGGCAUCCUACAGCCCCUCGCUGCACCCGCUCCGCCCGCUGGACCGCUUCCGCCCGCUGGAGGCGCCCUGGGGUGGCCCCCACUGGAAGCCCUUGCCAGGCAUCCACAGCGUGCCGAAAGCCUACAACACCGAGAACUCCCGCUCCGGCAGCUUGAAGUCGGCGCUAGGGGGAGCCGGCCGGGCCCGCCCCACCCCAGACACGUCCUCUGGCCUCGCGGAGGAGCCAAGCUCCGGACCUCCGCCCACUACGCGGUGUCCGGACUUAGUUGGGCUACCACUCAUUACGUCUACCGGCAAUGUCGGGGCCGGACUACCCCAGACACGCACACUCAGCUGCGGCAUCCCGGAGAAAGGACUAAGUCCAGAUAUUCUCCUCGAAGACUGUGGCCCCGCGGGCAGGACGCGCCCCCUGCGGGCGUAUUAGAUAAUGAGUUAAGUUACCUGAACCACACGCAUUUCCGGGGACCGCUCCGGGCAUCCUAACUUGAGGGCAGGGUGGGCGGAGGUCCCUAAGGGAGAGGUAGGUCUCUGGCUGAAUCCCUCGUUGGGGGGCAUCUGGGUCAAGCGGCUUCCCCGGCUGCAAAGUCACGGGGAGGCCCUCGCGGAUUGGGCAGGGGCUAAGUCCGAAGCCGCGCCCCUCCUGGGAGGUUGGACUGUGGCGCAGGAAUGCCUUAAAUGGAGGAGGGUUGAGGCUUCAGUCCAGCACCUUUCUCGGGUCACGGCCUCCUCCUGGCUCCCAAGACCGCACGAUAGGCAGAGGCAGGUUUUCUUACACCCUACGCCUGUGUCUCCAACGCCGACUAGACCCUAGCACUGGACGACUGAGUCUCUGAGGUCACUUCACCGUGGUCUCUGCUUCACUCUUGGCGCUGGACCACUGAGGGGAGAGGGCUGGGACGCCCCGCUGAGCCACUCCUGUGCCUCCCUGGCCUUGUGCACCUCUCAGCCCCCGGGGUGUUAGUGUCGAGGUCACCCCAGCAUCCUACCACCUCCUGGUGGCCUUGCCGCCCCCACAACCCGAAGGUAUAAAGCCAGGUACACGAGGCAGGGGACGCACCAAGGAUGGAGAUGCUCCAGGUAAGACUGCAGGGCCCCUGGGCACCUUCCACCUCCUUCCAGGCCAUCACUGGCAUGAGAAGGGGCAGACGAGUGUGAGCUGUGGAAGGAGGCCUCUUUCCGGAGGGGCGUGACCCCCAGUAAGCUUCAGGUGGGGCAAUCCCUGAGGGUGGGGAUCUGAAAUGUUGGGGUAUCUCAGGUCCUCUGGGCUGUGGGGUGGGCGCUGAAAGGAAGGUGUCUGGGCGGUGG